rnacentral:sRNA from 1 species
UACCCCGCUUUUUAAAUACACACACGUUUCGUCACAUACGUUAGGGUCCCUAAUGGGUUUCGUAUGGGAAACGUGGAGGCUUAAC